GUGUGUGUGUGAGUGUUGUGUUGCUAUAUAAGAUCCUCAUCAGCUGAUAGGGAAAGAUUAUGUUGAAAAGAAGAAGUUUAGAGAUGGAUGUGAGGAAAGUGAUGAGAGCAAUUGGUAUGCUAGUUUUAGGUGUGGGAAUGCUAAGUGGAAAAUCCUCAGCUACUUUCAAAGACUGCUACACCAAAUGCUUCAUUUUCUGCAUGAUUGAACCUUCUCAAACCCUUUGUUCCUGCACCACACACUGCUUGAAGGAUUGCAUCUUCCAAGAAAUCCAGAACGAUCUUCGUGAAGAUUCCGACAACCUCGGCUUCUGCAAACUCGGCUGCGCCUUCUCCAUGUGCUCUACUUUCAGCUCCAAACGCACGCCCAGUAAUUAAUAACCCUUCUUCUUCUUCUUCUUCCUCUUCUUCUUCUUNCAAAGAUCUUGGAUUCGAGUCAACAAUUGACGUGGACCUUUAAAUUUAAACUAGUUAAAAUUAGACCAAAAAAACAAAAAAAAAAAGAAAGUAACUCAUCUCAUCUCCACUGUCUGCUGAAUUCACUUAUACAUUACAUAUAUAUGUGUAAUAUAAAUAUUUUAAUAUAUAAAGUGGUAUUUUAACCACCAUUUGAAAAGUGUGAUACGAAAUUAGCUCGAACAACUUAAUUAUAAGUGGGCAUCCCAAAAAUGGGUUACUACUGGCCACUCACAUGACUGCCAUAAGAUGCAUAUAAUAUAACUAUUCAUUUCAAAUGUGUGUGUGUGAGUGUUGUGUUGCUAUAUAAGAUCCUCAUCAGCUGAUAGGGAAAGAUUAUGUUGAAAAGAAGAAGUUUAGAGAUGGAUGUGAGGAAAGUGAUGAGAGCAAUUGGUAUGCUAGUUUUAGGUGUGGGAAUGCUAAGUGGAAAAUCCUCAGCUACUUUCAAAGACUGCUACACCAAAUGCUUCAUUUUCUGCAUGAUUGAACCUUCUCAAACCCUUUGUUCCUGCACCACACACUGCUUGAAGGAUUGCAUCUUCCAAGAAAUCCAGAACGAUCUUCGUGAAGAUUCCGACAACCUCGGCUUCUGCAAACUCGGCUGCGCCUUCUCCAUGUGCUCUACUUUCAGCUCCAAACGCACGCCCAGUAAUUAAUAACCCUUCUUCUUCUUCUUCUUCUUCUUC
rnacentral:lncRNA from 1 species